rnacentral:rRNA from 1 species
AAUCUUCCACAAUGGGCGAAAGCCUGAUGGAGCAACGCCGCGUGAGUGAAGAAGGUUUUCGGCUCGUAAAACUCUGUUGUAAGGGAAGAACAAGUACAGACGUAACUGGCUGUAUCUUGACGGUACCUUAUUAGAAAGCCACGGCUAACUACGUGCCAGCAGCCGCGGUAAUACGUAUGUGGCAAGCGUUGUCCGGAAUUAUUUGGCGUAAAGCGUGCGCAGGCGGUCCAUUAAGUCUGAUGGUGAAGCCCACGGCUCAACCGUGGAGGGUCAUUGGAAACUGGGGGACUUGAGUGCAGAAGAGGAAAGUGGAAAUCCAAGUGUAGCGGUGAAAUGCGUAGAGAUUUGGAGGAACACCAGUGGCGAAGGCGACUUUCUGGUCUGUAACUGACGCUGAGGCGCGAAAGCGUGGGGAGCAAACAGG